rnacentral:lncRNA from 1 species
UUUAUGAUGAAUUAUAAGUGUUUACAUAAUCAAGUGUGUAUUUUUAGUUGUCUUAACGUGAGAUUGAUGCAUGGGUCAUUAAUCACCAAUUUAUGAUUGUUUUUUCGAGAAUUAUUUAUGGUAUGAGCACCCUCAGAUAAGAUUACUCACAGAUUUUGACAAAGAUUUGACCAUUUGGUCCUAAGAUAAGAUAAAAAUCCAUUUUUUUCAAAUAAUUUGAGGUUUA